rnacentral:tRNA from 1 species
CUCUUGGUGGUCCAGUGUCUAAGACUCUGAACUUACAAUGCAGGGGGUCUGGGUUCGACCCCUGGUCAGGAAA